rnacentral:rRNA from 1 species
AGCAGCCGCGGUAAUUCCAGCUCCAAUAGCGUAUAUUAAAGUUGUUGCAGUUAAAAAGCUCGUAGUUGAAUUUCGGGGUCAAUACGUCGGUCGUGCCUCGGUACGCACUAACGUUAUUGAUCCCUCCCUUCUGACGAACCGUGAUGUCAUUAAUUUGGUGUUGCGGGGAAUCAGGACUGUUACCUUGAAAAAAUUAGAGUGUUUAAAGCAGGCAAUCGCUCGAAUACAUUAGCAUGGAAUAAUGAAAUAGGACGUUCGAACCUAUUUUGUUGGUUUCUAGGAUCGACGUAAUGAUUAAUAGGGAUAGUUGGGGGCAUUAGUAUUCAAUUGUCAGAGGUGAAAUUCUUGGAUUUAUUGAAGACUAACUACUGCGAAAGCAUUUGCCAAGGAUGUUUUCAUUAAUCAAGAACGAAAGUUAGGGGAUCGAAGACGAUCAGAUACCGUCGUAGUCUUAACCAUAAACUAUGCCGACUAGGGAUCGGAUGAUGUUAAUUUUUUAAUGACUCAUUCGGCGCCUUACG